GUGGAAUAUUCCUCUCUGCUAUAACCUGGGUAAUGUGAAGAUUGGUAAUUCAACAGAAAUUGGGAAGUUAUGAGGAGGGGUGGAUUUAGGGGGAAAGAUCACGAGUUGUUUUUGGACAAGUUGAGUUUGAGGGGCCUAUGGAACAUCUAGGUAGAGAUGUUCAACAGCAGUCAUUUGUAGAUGUGGGACUGGAGCUCAGAAGAGAGAUGAUAGUUGAAUCCAUGGGAACGGAUGAAGUCAUCAAGAGAGAGUGCAGAGAGAGAAAAACAUCCAGAACAGAACCCUGGGCCACACACACCCCCACACAGGGUACCGGACAUGGAUGAUGAACCUGCAAAGAAGACUGAAAAACAUUAAAUGGACAGGGAGGAAGAGAAUCAUGACAGAUAAGCAUCAUAAAACCUAGGUGAAGUAUUUCUUUCUCCAUUUGGAUCAACUCAUCCUUGCACUGAUCCAUCUCUAAUUUUAUGUGCCUGUUCAAAAAGGAAAUAAAGCAAGUAACAAAUGAAAACUAAUUCAAAUA